rnacentral:rRNA from 2 species
UGCAAGUCGAGCGAACUGAUUAGAAGCUUGCUUCUAUGACGUUAGCGGCGGACGGGUGAGUAACACGUGGGCAACCUGCCUGUAAGACUGGGAUAACUUCGGGAAACCGAAGCUAAUACCGGAUAGGAUCUUCUCCUUCAUGGGAGAUGAUUGAAAGAUGGUUUCGGCUAUCACUUACAGAUGGGCCCGCGGUGCAUUAGCUAGUUGGUGAGGUAACGGCUCACCAAGGCAACGAUGCAUAGCCGACCUGAGAGGGUGAUCGGCCACACUGGGACUGAGACACGGCCCAGACUCCUACGGGAGGCAGCAGUAGGGAAUCUUCCGCAAUGGACGAAAGUCUGACGGAGCAACGCCGCGUGAGUGAUGAAGGCUUUCGGGUCAUAAAACUCUGUUGUUAGGGAAGAACAAGUACAAUAGUAACUGCUCGUACCUUGACGGUACCUAACCAGAAAGCCACGGCUAACUACGUGCCAGCAGCCGCGGUAAUACGUAGGUGGCAAGCGUUAUCCGGAAUUAUUGGGCGUAAAGCGCGCGCAGGCGGUUUCUUAUGUCUGAUGUGAAAACCCACGGCUCAACCGUGGAGGGUCAUUGCAAACUGGGGAACUUGAGUGCAG